GACGAACGCUGGCGGCGUGCCUAAUACAUGCAAGUUGAGCGCUGAAGGUUGGUCCUUGUACCAACUGGAUGAGCAGCGAACGGGUGAGUAACGCGUGGGGAAUCUGCCUUUGAGCGGGGGACAACAUUUGGAAACGAAUGCUAAUACCGCAUAAAAACUUUAAACACAAGUUUUAAGUUUGAAAGAUGCAAUUGCAUCACUCAAAGAUGAUCCCGCGUUGUAUUAGCUAGUUGGUGAGGUAAAGGCUCACCAAGGCGAUGAUACAUAGCCGACCUGAGAGGGUGAUCGGCCACAUUGGGACUGAGACACGGCCCAAACUCCUACGGGAGGCGGCAGUAGGGAAUCUUCGGCAAUGGACGAAAGUCUGACCGAGCAACGCCGCGUGAGUGAAGAAGGUUUUCGGAUCGUAAAACUCUGUUGGUAGAGAAGAACGUUGGUGAGAGUGGAAAGCUCAUCAAGUGACGGUAACUACCCAGAAAGGGACGGCUAACUACGUG
rnacentral:rRNA from 1 species